rnacentral:rRNA from 1 species
CCUACGGGAGGCAGCAGUAGGGAAUAUUGCUCAAUGGGGGAAACCCUGAAGCAGCAACGCCGCGUGGAGGAUGAAGGUUUUCGGAUUGUAAACUCCUUUUGUUAGAGAAGAUAAUGACGGUAUCUAACGAAUAAGCACCGGCUAACUCCGUGCCAGCAGCCGCGGUAAUACGGAGGGUGCACGCGUUACUCGGAAUGACUGGGCGUAAAGCGCGCGUAGGCGGGAUAGCAAGUCAGAUGUGAAAUCCUAUGGCUUAACCAUAGAACUGCAUUUGAAACUGUUAUUCUAGAGUAUGGGAGAGGUAGGUGGAAUUCUUGGUGUAGGGGUAAAAUCCGUAGAGAUCAAGAGGAAUACUCAUUGCGAAGGCGACCUGCUAGAACAUAACUGACGCUGAUGCGCGAAAGCGUGGGGAGCAAACAGGAUUAGAUACCCCAGUAGUC